UACGAAGGGGGCUAGCGUUGUUCGAAAUCACUGGGCGUAAAGCGCACGUAGGCGGAUCUUUAAGUCAGGGGUGAAAUCCCGAGGCUCAACCUCGGAACUGCCUUUGAUACUGGGGAUCUCGAGUCCGGGAGAGGUGAGUGGAACUGCGAGUGUAGAGGUGAAAUUCGUAGAUAUUCGCAAGAACACCAGUGGCGAAGGCGGCUCACUGGCCCGGAACUGACGCUGAGGUGCGAAAGCGUGGGGAGCAAACAGG
rnacentral:rRNA from 1 species